rnacentral:snRNA from 1 species
GUACUUUAUCUGACAAAGGGGAAACCAUAAUCAUUAAAAUGAUUUUCCCAGGGGGAGGCUUAUUCAUUGCACUCUGGAGGUAUCGACCCUACCGCCUUCCCUUGGGUGAGCCGGAACUGUGUUCUGCCAUGUGGGAGCAUCUGGAGUGGCUGCUUG